GACGAACGCUGGCGGCGUGCUUAACACAUGCAAGUCGAACGGAAAGGCCCGGCUUUUGUGGGGUGCUCGAGUGGCGAACGGGUGAGUAACACGUGAGUAACCUGCCCUUGACUGUGGGAUAACUUCAGGAAACGAGGGCUAAUACCGGAUAGGAGCACCUGCUGCAUGGUGGGGGUUGGAAAGUUUCGGCGGUUUGGGUUGGAGUCGCGGCUUAUCAGCUUGUUGGUGGGGUAGUGGCUUACCAAGGCUUUGACGGGUAGCCGGCCUGGGAGGGUGACCGGCCACAUUGGGCCUGAGGAGCGAGCCAGAGUGCUACGGGAGGCAGCGGUGGGGGACAUUGCAAAAUGGGCGGAAGCCUGAUGGAGCAACGCCGCGUGCGGGAUGACGGCUUUAGGGUUGGAACCAGCUUUAGACUGUGACGAUGCGUGUGUGACGGUAAUGUGUAAAGAAGCAACGGCUAACUACGUG
rnacentral:rRNA from 1 species